UACGUAGGGUGCGAGCGUUGUCCGGAAUUAUUGGGCGUAAAGGGCUCGUAGGCGGUCCAUCGCGUCGGGAGUGAAAAGCUGGGGCUUAACCCCAGUCCUGCUUUCGAUACGGGUGGACUAGAGGUAGGCAGGGGAGAAUGGAAUUCCUGGUGUAGCGGUGAAAUGCGCAGAUAUCGAGAGGAACACCUGCGGCGAAGGCGGGUUGCUGGGCUGACACUGACGCUGAUGUGCGAAAGCUAGGGGAGCGAACGGG
rnacentral:rRNA from 1 species